GAGACUCUAACUUUUCCUCCCACUAGGCAGUCAGGACCCAAGGACACCAGAGACUCCAAGAAUGAACUUGUCUCUGGGAUCAAUGAUUGUGCUAUUCUUAAUGUUUGGACGAAGCAAUGGAAACUCGGUGAACCAGGCAAAAGGACAAGUGACCUUCUUGGAAAGGGAUUCCAUGACUAUGAACUGCACUUAUUCAGCCACAGGGUACCCCACUCUUUUCUGGUAUGUGCAGUAUCCCAGAGCAGGUCCACAGCUCCUCCUGAAAGCUACAAAGGCCAACGAGAAGGGAAGGAACAAAGGUUUUGAAGCCACGUACAAUAAAGAAGCCUCCUCCUUCCACUUGGAGAAAGCCUCAGUCCAAGAGCUGGAUUCAGCUGUGUACUACUGUGCUCUGAGUGACACAGUGACAGGAGCUGCAGGGGGAGCUGAGCACAAACUCUUGAACAGAACUCGGGGCUGGGUGCUGAACGUGUCUGCCUGUUUCAUCCGCUCUGGUUUAGGAACCGGGAGCUAG